GAUCAUGGCUCAGAUUGAACGCUGGCGGCAGGCCUAACACAUGCAAGUCGAGCGGAUGAAGAGAGCUUGCUCUCUGAUUCAGCGGCGGACGGGUGAGUAAUGCCUAGGAAUCUGCCUGAUAGUGGGGGACAACGUUUCGAAAGGAACGCUAAUACCGCAUACGUCCUACGGGAGAAAGCAGGGGACCUCGGUCCGUUCGUCGCGUAUCUAGAUGAGCUACGGUCGGAGUUAGU
rnacentral:rRNA from 1 species